GUUCAAGGAUGAAAGACGGUUUCGGCUGUCACUACAGAUGGACCCGCGGCGCAUUAGCUAGUUGGUGGGGUAAUGGCUCACCAAGGCGACGAUGCGUAGCCGACCUGAGAGGGUGAUCGGCCACACUGGGACUGAGACACGGCCCAGACUCCUACGGGAGCAGCAGUAGGGAAUCUUCCGCAAUGGACGAAAGUCUGACGGAGCAACGCCGCGUGAGUGAUGAAGGUUUUCGGAUCGUAAAGCUCUGUUGUUAGGGAAGAACAAGUGCGAGAGUAACUGCUCGCACUUGACGGUACCUAACCAGAAAGCCACGGCUAACUACGUGCCAGCAGCCGCGGUAAUACGUAGGUGGCAAGCGUUGUCCGGAAUUAUUGGGCGUAAAGGGCUCGCAGGCGGUUUCUUAAGUCUGAUGUAAAGCCCCCGGCUCAACCGGGGAGGGUCAUUGGAAACUGGGAAACUUGAGUGCAGAAGAGGAGAGUGGAAUUCCACGUGUAGCGGUGAAAUGCGUAGAGAUGUGGAGGAACACCAGUGGCGAAGGCGACUCUCUGGUCGUAACUGACGCUGAGGAGCGAAAGCGUGGGGAGCGAACAGGAUUAGAUACCCUGGUAGUCCACGCCGUAAACGAUGAGUGCUAAGUGUUAGGGGGUUCCGCCCCUUAGUGCUGCAGCUAACGCAUUAGCACUCCGCCUGGGGAGUACGGUCGCAAGACUGAAACUCAAAGGAAUUGACGGGGGCCCGCACAAGCGGUGGAGCAUGUGGUUUAAUUCGAAGCAACGCGAAGAACCUUACCAGGUCUUGACAUCCUUGACAACCCUAGAGAUAGGGCUUUCCCUUCGGGGACAGAGUGACAGGUGGUGCAUGGUUGUCGUCAGCUCGUGUCGUGAGAUGUUGGGUUAAGUCCCGCAACGAGCGCAACCCUUGAUCUUAGUUGCAGCAUUCAGUUGGGCACUCUAAGGUGACUGCCGGUGACAAACCGGAGGAAGGUGGGGAUGACGUCAAAUCAUCAUGCCCCUUAUGACCUGGGCUACACACGUGCUACAAUGGACAGAACAAAGGGCU
rnacentral:rRNA from 1 species